rnacentral:lncRNA from 1 species
AUCAUCAUGUUGUAGUGUUCCUGCUCACUUUCUUCAGUUAUUCGUUGCUCCAUGCUUCACGAAAAACAUUUAGCAAUGUCAAAGUCAGUAUCUCUGAGCAGUGGACCCCAAGUGCUUUUAACACGUCAGUUGAGCUGCCUGUGGAGGUAAGCAGAACAGAGUGCUGGGAUGGAUCGAAGUAGGAGACCGUGCCCACCCCUAGAUUGUUCUUAAGCUCUUUUUUGCAUCUUUUACUUGCCUAGACUCUGAAAUGGCUCACUGUUUCCUAUCACAUAAGAGCCAAACUAUUCUAAUUUCAAAGCCUGCUCUGACUCAGUCCCAUUUUACCUCUCCAGCCGGCUUGUUUCUAACUGUUGAGAAAUCACACCUUUUGACAAGGCUGUUUUUUCACUGGCUUUCGUUAGUGCUGUGCUCGUUUCUGUCUUUGAGAUUUUGCACAUUAUCUUUUAUGUGCUCUUUUGCCCUUUUCCACCUAUUUAAAGUUUGCCUUUCUCUUUGUGUCAAGAUAAAAUAUCACUUUUUUUUUUUUUUUUAAACAGAGUAUCAUUCU